rnacentral:rRNA from 1 species
UACGUAGGUCCCAAGCGUUGUCCGGAUUUAUUGGGCGUAAAGCGAGCGCAGGCGGUUGUAUAAGUCUGAAGUAAAAGGCAGUGGCUCAACCAUUGUGUGCUUUGGAAACUGUCCAACUUGAAUGCAGAAGAGGUAAGUGGAAUUCCAUGUGUAGCGGUGAAAUGCGUAGAUAUAUGGAGGAACACCAGUGGCGAAGGCGACUCUCUGGUCUGUAACUGACGCUGAGGCUCGAAAGCGUGGGGAGCAAACAGG